CCAGCAGCCGCGGUAAUUCCAGCUCCAAUAGCGUAUAUUAAAGUUGUUGCAGUUAAAAAGCUCGUAGUUGGAUUUCUGGUUUGAACGACCGGCCAGCCAAUGGCUCGUGCUAGGUUGUUUGGACCAUUUUUUGUGAGGAUGCCUUUCUGUCAUUAAGUUGAUGGUUUGGUAGACUUGCAUCGUUUACUGUGAAAAAAUUAGAGUGUUUAAAGCAGGCGUUUGCUCAUUGAAUACAUUAGCAUGGAAUAAUAAGAUACGACCUUGGUGGUCUAUUUUGUUGGUUUGCACACCAGGGUAAUGAUUAAUAGGGACAGUUGGGGGUAUUCAUAUUUCAGCGUCAGAGG
rnacentral:rRNA from 1 species